UACGUAGGGUGCAAGCGUUAAUCGGAAUUACUGGGCGUAAAGCGUGCGCAGGCGGUGAUGUAAGACAGUUGUGAAAUCCCCGGGCUCAACCUGGGAAUUGCGAUGGAGACUGCAAGGCUAGAAUCUGGCAGAGGGGGGUAGAAUUCCACGUGUAGCAGUGAAAUGCGUAGAGAUGUGGAGGAACACCGAUGGCGAAGGCAGCCCCCUGGGUCAAGAUUGACGCUCAUGCACGAAAGCGUGGGGAGCAAACAGG
rnacentral:rRNA from 1 species